CCCUUAGAUGUUCUGGGCCGCACGCGCGCUACACUGAUGCAUUCAACGAGUUUCUUCCUGGUCCGAGAGGAAUGGGUAACCUUUUGAAAGUGCAUCGUGAUAGGGAUAGACUAUUGCAAUUAUUGGUCUUCAACGAGGAAUUCCUAGAAGACGUAGUUCAUCAGACUGCAUCGAUUACGUCCCUGCCCUUUGUACACACCGCCCGUCGCUCCUACCGAUUGAAUGCUCAGGUGAGCCAUUCGGACUUUCAUCAUGCUGGUUUCCAGUUUUGAUGAAGGAAAGUCUUGCGAACCUUAUCAUUUAGAGGAAGGAGAAGUCGUAACA
rnacentral:rRNA from 1 species